rnacentral:rRNA from 1 species
UACGGGGGGGGCAAGCGUUGUUCGGAAUUACUGGGCGUAAAGGGUUUGUAGGUGGCCGGCUAAGUCAGACGUGAAAUCCCUCAGCUUAACUGGGGAACUGCGUCUGGGACUGGUCGGCUUGAGGGCCGGAGAGGAACGCGGAAUUCCAGGUGUAGCGGUGAAAUGCGUAGAUAUCUGGAGGAACACCGGUGGCGAAGGCGGCAUCCUGGACCAACACUGACACUGAGGAGCGAAAGCCAGGGGAGCAAACGGG